UACGGGGGGGGCAAGCGUUGUUCGGAAUUACUGGGCGUAAAGGGCUCGUAGGCGGCCAACUAAGUCGGACGUGAAAUCCCUCGGCUUAACCGGGGAACUGCGUCUGAUACUGGAUGGCUUGAAUCCGGGAGAGGGAUGCGGAAUUCCAGGUGUAGCGGUGAAAUGCGUAGAUAUCAGGAAGAACACCAAUGGCGAAGGCAGCUCUCUGGGACGGUACUGACGCUGAGACGCGAAAGCGUGGGGAGCGAACAGG
rnacentral:rRNA from 1 species